rnacentral:rRNA from 1 species
AUCCUUAGUACGAGAGGACCGGGAUGGACCAACCUCUGGUGUAUCUGUUGUAACGCCAGUUGCAGUGCAGAGUAGCUAUGUUGGGAAUGGAUAACCGCUGAAAGCAUCUAAGCGGGAAGCCAACUUUAAGAUGAGUUUUCCCAUAUUUUAUAUAGUAAGAUCCCUCAAAGACGAUGAGGUUGAUAGGCUAGAGGUGGAAGCAUAGUGAUAUGUUGAGCUGACUAGUACUAAUAGAUCGAGGAUUUAACCCU